rnacentral:rRNA from 1 species
GGAAUAUUGGACAAUGGGCGCAAGCCUGAUCCAGCAACGCCGCGUGGAGGACGAAGGUCUUCGGAUCGUAAACUCCUGUCAGGCGGGACGAAGGCUUCCGGGCGAACAGUCCGGAAGCUUGACGGUACUGCCAGAGGAAGCACCGGCUAACUACGUGCCAGCAGCCGCGGUAAUACGUAGGGUGCGAGCGUUAAUCGGAAUUACUGGGCGUAAAGUGUGCGCAGGCGGCGCUGCAAGUCGAGUGUGAAAUCCCCGAGCUUAACUUGGGAAUUGCGCUCGAAACUACGGCGCUGGAGUAUGGCAGAGGAAGGUGGAAUUCCACGUGUAGCGGUGAAAUGCGUAGAGAUGUGGAGGAACACCGAUGGCGAAGGCAGCCUUCUGGGCCAAUACUGACGCUCAUGCACGAAAGCGUGGGGAGCAAAC